CAGCAGCCACGGGAAUACGUAGGGUGCAAGCGUUAAUCGGAAUUACUGGGCGUAAAGCGUGCGCAGGCGGUUUUGUAAGACAGAGGUGAAAUCCCCGGGCUCAACCUGGGAACUGCCUUUGUGACUGCAAGGCUUGAGUGCGGCAGAGGGGGAUGGAAUUCCGCGUGUAGCAGUGAAAUGCGUAGAUAUGCGGAGGAACACCGAUGGCGAAGGCAAUCCCCUGGGCCUGCACUGACGCUCAUGCACGAAAGAGUGGGGAGCAAACAGGAUUAGAUACCCCGGUAGUCCCUGUCUCUUAUAC
rnacentral:rRNA from 1 species